rnacentral:rRNA from 1 species
UAGGGAAUCUUCCGCAAUGGGCGAAAGCCUGACGGAGCAACGCCGCGUGAGUGAUGAAGGUCUUCGGAUCGUAAAACUCUGUUAUUAGGGAAGAACAAAUGUGUAAGUAACUAUGCACGUCUUGACGGUACCUAAUCAGAAAGCCACGGCUAACUACGUGCCAGCAGCCGCGGUAAUACGUAGGUGGCAAGCGUUAUCCGGAAUUAUUGGGCGUAAAGCGCGCGUAGGCGGUUUUUUAAGUCUGAUGUGAAAGCCCACGGCUCAACCGUGGAGGGUCAUUGGAAACUGUAAAACUUGAGUGCAGAAGAGGAAAGUGGAAUUCCAUGUGUAGCGGUGAAAUGCGCAGAGAUAUGGAGGAACACCAGUGGCGAAGGCGACUUUCUGGUCUGUAACUGACGCUGAUGUGCGAAAGCGUGGGGAUCAAACAGG